AUACCAUGAUGUAGUCAUUUCCUUAACAACUCUUUAAAUCUCUCCCAUGCAUCAUAUAACAAUUCCCCUUUCGUCUGGUAGAAAUUAUUAAUUUCCCCUUUCAUCUU